GGCCACAGCCAUAUCACCCUGCAGCCCAUGACCGGUGACUCACUGAAGCUAAGCAGGGCUGAGCCUGGUCAGUACCUGGAUGGGAGACCACUAGGGUACACUAGGUUGCUGUUGGAA
rfam:Danio rerio chromosome 20, GRCz11 reference primary assembly.